rnacentral:tRNA from 1 species
UGGGGUGUAGCUCAAUAGGCAGAGCACUUGCCUAGCGUGCUUGAGACUCUGGGUUCAAUCCCCAGCAUUUCGU